CCUACGGGAGGCAGCAGUGAGGAAUAUUGGUCAAUGGACGAGAGUCUGAACCAGCCAAGUAGCGUGAAGGAUGACUGCCCUAUGGGUUGUAAACUUCUUUUAUAUGGGAAUAAAAUGUUCCACGUGUGGGAUUUUGUAUGUACCAUAUGAAUAAGGAUCGGCUAACUCCGUGCCAGCAGCCGCGGUAAUACGGAGGAUCCGAGCGUUAUCCGGAUUUAUUGGGUUUAAAGGUAGCGUAGGUGGAUUGUUAAGUCAGUUGUGAAAGUUUGCGGAUCAACCGUAAAAUUGCAGUUGAAACUGGCAGUCUUGAGUACAGUAGAGGUGGGCGGAAUUCGUGGUGUAGCGGUGAAAUGCUUAGAUAUCACGAAGAACUCCGAUUGCGAAGGCAGUUCACUGGACUGCAACUGACACUGAGGCUCGAAAGUGUGGGUAUCAAACAGGAUUAGAUACCCGAGUAGUC
rnacentral:rRNA from 1 species